AUGGCUAGAUACUGGUGGGGCAGUUCCUUAGAUAAAAGAUCUAUGCACUGACUAGCUUGGGAUAAGCUCACGGUACCAAAAUGUAAUGGCGGAAUGGGAUUUCGUGACUUCCGUUUCUUUAACUUGGCGAUGCUAGGGAAACACGGUUGGAGACUGUUGACUGACCCAACUUCCUUGUGCGCCAGAGUUCUCAAGGGGAGGUAUUUUCCUGAUUGUGACUUCAUGCAUGCUAGUGCACCCUCAAACUCAUCAGCAACUUGGCGUGCUAUUAUCGCGGGAAGAGACGCCUUGAAUGUUGGACUAAUUAACAGGAUUGGGGAUGGUUCGAGUGUAUCUGUGUGGGAUGACAAGUGGAUUCCA
rnacentral:rRNA from 1 species